CCAUCCUGUUAUAUUAUCUGGGAGUGGUUUUUCCAAGCCAAGGUAUCUUGGAUAGGCCAUAGAGGUGGGGCCCUUGGUUAAGAGGGCACAGCUGGGGCUCAGAAGCACCAAACACAUCCCACUGCGUCUCUGCAGUGUGUAAACAGGUGCGCCACCACCCGGCCCCAGUAGCUAACAUUUCAAGCCCUUUAUGUGCCAAACUCCAUGGCAGCUUCUGUAAGUUAAGGCUUCACGUGUUAUACACACACAGGUCCACAAUUGAUUUAGGAGUCUUCUGUUUCAAGAAAUAGGUAUACACCUUAUUAAAAAAGAACAGGAUUUCUGAGCUUCAAUGGCUGAGCUGGAAGGAGUGUAAGGGUGGGAUUUCAUCUCUCAAAGACUUGCAAAAGGAAGCCAAGCACGAUAUGAGUCUUCAGUUUUUCUCUAGUUUCUGUUCCUUUUUUGCAUGCUACAUCUCCUCACUGUAUUCAUUCAGAAGUAUGACUCCAGAGGAAGAAAAGGCCAUUCCCCACAAGUUCAGGUUAAAAAGGUUUAACGAGAGGAGUCAACUUUUGGUCAAAAUGGUGGCAGCCAAGCAGUGGCUACUGGACCGCUGCCUAGACUGUCCCCUUGCUCCAGUCGUCACUGAGAACCACGCGAUGGGGAGACGGCUCGCCAGCUGGCACAGAACAACAACUUGAAGAAAGCCCUAAUGUUAGCAGAGUUGUUCAAUGCUCCUUAUGAAGACUGCAGAGCUGUGGUCCUAGGCCUGCUCACUGUAUGGGGGAGAGCUGUGGAGGAGGCCGGCAACACACUCAGGGAAUAAUGAGCAAAGAAUAACUUACGGGGAGCAGGCGGGGCACACUUGGCCAAGCACACAUGCUACAGUGCACACGACCUGGGUUCAAGCCCCUGGUCCUCACCUGCGGGAGGGAAGCUUCACCAGUGGGGAGGCAGGGCUGCAGGUGUCUCUCUGUCUCUCUCCUCUAUCUCUCUCUGCCCUAUCAAUUUCUCUCUGUCUCUAUCCAACAAUAAACAAGAAUAUGUAUAUAGAAAAGAAACACUUGAGGAAAGGAAUCAGUGAUGGGGUAGCGCAGUGGUGCACCCAUUUCAGCACACCCAGUAUGGAGUGCAAGGACACACCCAGGGGCUGGGCUGGAGCCUCUGCUCUCCACCUGCAGGGAGAGCGCUUCACAAGCAGUGAAGUUGAAGAAGGCCUGCUGUCUGUUUGUCUUUCUGUCUCUCUCAUCUCCCCCUCCUUUCUCAAUUUCUCUCUGUCCUAGCCAAUAAAGUAGGGGGAAAUGUUGGUCUGCUUCUAAAUUCUGCUUCUAAGACCUUCUGUUUUGAUCAUCACAUUAGGUUCAUUGUAUUACUUACGAUGUGGUCUAUUUACAUGAUCACUGUUGUACCUGGGUCCCGCCCUGCCUGCAGGGCGUUGGUUUAAUCCCCACUGGUUAGAUGGAAGCUUGCUAUGUUCUGUUCACACUCUUUUUUUGCUCCGCCCCCUCUCCUAGUCAUUUCCUUUCCCUUGCCACUUCCGAUUAAUAUCUGAUUAAUAAACGAGAUACUGCUUCCCAGCUCA